AUAGGCUUCGGCUUAGCGUCUUAGCAGGCGAUUCCUCCACGGCGCUCGAAGCGCGUCGUGGUAUUUCGCGUAUUGUUAUUUCAACACGAGCGGGGUCAAAUCCUUUGCAGACGACUUAGCUGUGCGAAACGGUCCUGUAAGCAGUAGAGUAGCCUUGUUGUUACGAUCUGCUGAGGGUAAGCCGUCCUUCGCCUCGAUUUCCCCAACGA
rnacentral:rRNA from 1 species